CCGAGGAGAAGGCGUUGUUGAGUAGAGUAGGCUAGAGUUAACCGAAAUUCAAGUUCAUAAUUUAAAUUCUAAGUUAACUGCACCAACUAACCGAGUGGAAAACCGUUACCCUUUUCUAAUGAUUAAAAUGUUUUACGAUUGCUGUGAACAUUUUAUUGAACCCGUUUUACAAAGACACAAGUUGAUGCUUGUUUUCGAUCUCAUUUGGACCAAUGCAAAGAUAGAGAUCCCACGUAACUUCCCUGUUUUUCUUACAGCGCUCAAACAAAUCAAGAAAGCAAUCAAAUCAUGGCUUUACAAUCCCCUGUUAAAUUCAAGGAAAAAGGAUGAAACGCAGCCUGUCAUCCAUUCACAUUGUUCGCCAUCCGGUUUUCUAGAGAAUUCUUCUCCUACAAUUGCAACAGAAGCCUUUUUCAUAAAGAAUGACAGUUUGAACAGUGAAGCGGAUUUUUACCACUCUGAGGAAGUAUUGAAAGAAAAUAUCUUGUUCCUGGUUUUAAACGAAAAAUAUGACGAGAAAUUCCUUUCAUUUGAACUAUUGCAGAGACGUGAUCGAGUUUUCGCGGAAGCAUUGUUGCAUUGCAGUUGCUUAGAUGUGCACCUUGCAUUAGCAAAGCGAAAAAUCCAAAAUGUAAGAAGAGAAAACUCCAUUGAUGUUGAACAGUUUGAAUCAUUUACAAAUCCUGAAAAGAGCAAAGUGUUUGAAGUUUCACACUUCAUUGAUUCUAAUAAUGUGACGAGAAACUUGAGCAUCGAAUUGAAUUGGGACGAACAAUAUGUUGGAACCAUUCAGCCAGACCAAGAGAAGAUGGCCAAUAAAGAAGAUUGUGAACGACAAGUCGAAAUUGAUCAAACAAGUUCGCAGUACGAUUAUGGAUGGGCCCGUGAAGAGGGUCUUGAUUUGUUGAGGAUUCUGGGUUCAAAUUUCGAAGAGAAGAUUAAUGGUGGAGUCGCAUACUGUGAGUGUAACUUCGAGGGAAUUCAAAACGAAGAAGUGACUUAUGCCAUAGCGAAAUUCGAGUGUCAAGUAGCCGGUCAGGCUACGUCAGACUACAAGGUCCUCAUACAACGUGCAGUGGCCUACAUCAACGUCGACUCUGCCAUAGAAGGUAAUUAUACUCUAAAGAGUCAAACUACUAAUUACCUUCGCUGUACUCAGUAAUCAGAGAAGCGGCCAAAAUGGUACCCAAUCCUAAUCCAGUAGAGGUGGAAGCCUGACGUAAAACAGUUUUUGACACUUGGUUGGCGGCCAAUCCGGAUCCGAGAAAUCCUACCCAACCACGGAAAGACAUUGGUAAUUUAGGAAGUGGUAGUGAUUACACCGUCUUCAUUCAUGUUCUCGGCGUCCCAUCGAUCGACGUUUACUACGAUUAUCAAGAGAAAGCAGGAUCUUACCCUCUUUACCACACUCUUUACGAGACUUAUCAUA